rnacentral:sRNA from 1 species
UCACUUGACGCUUUGCUCCUCAGCAGCGGCAGAGAGCUUGUACUUGAGGUAGGCUCUGAUGAAGGUGUCCAGCUCGCCGUCCAUGACGCCGGUGAUGUCCGACGUCUCGCAGGCGGUGCGGACGUCCUUGACGAGCUUGUAGGGGUGGAAGACGUAGUUGCGGAUCUGCUGCCCCCACUCCGCCUUCACCGCGUCGCCGCGGAUCUGCUUGAUCUCCGACGCCCGCUGCUCCUCGGCGAUCACCAGCAGCUUCGCCUUCAGCCGGCUCAGGGCCUUUAUCUUGUUGGCCAACUGGCUCCUCUCCUCUGCGCAACGAACAGCGAUGCCCGUGGGUAUAUGGACCAUGCGAACAGCCGUCUCCACCUUGUUCACAUUCUGGCCUCCUUUGCCGCCUGCUCUAGUGAAGCUUAUCUCCAGAUCCUCUUCGGGUAUUUCUACAUCCAUGGACUCUUCUGGCAGUAGAGGCAUUACUUCAACACCAGCAAAGCUUGUCUGCCUAAGCCCUUUAGCAUUGAAUGGGGACUGACGAACAAUUCUGUGUGUCCCUUUCUCCCCAGAGAGAUACCCAUAGGCAUAUCUUCCUUCUAAUUCAAUGGUAGCUGAUUUUAUUCCAGCUUCUUCACCAGGGGAUUUCUCAACCACUCUUGUCUUGUACCGCUGCUUCUCUCCCCACCUAACAUACAUCCUCAGUAACAUUGAAAGCAUACCUGGGCAUCGGUGCCACCAGCACCUGCAGUAAUAUUAAUCACAGCACCUUCCUUGUCAUAAGGUCCAGAAAGAAGCUGUGUCAUCUCAAAGUUAUCUAGUGCUUUGUUUAAUGCCUUUAUGAUCUUUGAGGCUUCUUCAAGAAGGCCAGUAUCUAUGGAAUCUAACUCCUCAGUAAGCUUUACAAUGAAUAUCAAGUUGGUUAAACCUGCAACUUCAAAUCGUUGAGAAGCUUGACUCUGUCUUUGACCUCUGUCAGAGCAACAAGUAUCUCCUGUGCCUUGGAAGGAUCAUCCCACAAGGAACUAUCUGCAGAUUUCUUCUCGAGCGAAGCGAUUUCCUCCUCAAGCUGAUCCAAACCAGCAGACUGCCUGACUUCACUGACGCGCGCUACAGCCAGCUCGACAUCCUUCCGCAAAGCGUAGAAAUCCUGCAUGGCCCAUUCGGUAGCCUCCGAACUUUCUGCAACGCUUGAUUGGCUUCCUGACCCAGAGGAUGCAGAUUGCACUGUGACCUGCGGCGGUGGCUGACACGGCAAUAUACGGGUACGGGAGGGACUCCGGCGGUGCAGACCCUCCGGUGAGCGGCGGAGCUGGGGUACGGAGAGGCGCGCGCGGCCGCCAGGAGCAGCCGCGGGCAGUCAAUCAUUGCCGCACUUCGGCUACAGGACAUGGAGCGGGAGUGGGCGAAGAUGGCCACCGGUAGGCGACGCGCCGACGAGGGUGUGGGGCUGGGGCGGCGGCGGCGGCUCGCCGGCGAGCGGAGCGGGGCGGAGAGGAGGCGA